UGAAAUGGGAGUAACAUAUUGGACUUUAUAACAGAUCAUAUCGUCCUUGAACUUGGAGAGUUCAAGCAUUUUCACAUCGUUUUCUGGAACCAACUCGGUAUGAAUUCUGAGGAUCUAACCCGAUGCAACAGCCUGACGACUCCGAAUCCCCUGGAUUGGGUGCUGAACUUCGUAAGAAAUACUAAAUGUGCAGUUGGAAAGCAACCUGUGACCUGAACAAGUUCCUGGAAAAACACCUCAGUUCAAUGGUCACGUGAUAUCCUACACACGGUCAUUGUCGGUCUAGUCGGUUCUCCGCCGCCUGUGAUCCAACCGCUUCAGGAGACGGUUUGCUGAAUGACGAAGAACCUGCAUCUACAGAUCCAAAUGGCGAUGAGGAGCUGAGCAAAUAUGCCAUGAAUUUAACCUUACGGAUAGCCGGUUGGUUCGCGUUCACCACUUUCUCCUGAGAAACAGGUCUUGCAAUCAUGAUGCCCUGGCUAGCCCUCCCCAUUGCCCACUGUGCUUCCCCAGGGCAUCACCUGCCGGCGUGGAAAUCUUGGGAUAUG
rnacentral:lncRNA from 1 species